rnacentral:rRNA from 1 species
UUCGCCCUUAGAGUUUGAUCCUGGCUCAGAACGAACGCUGGCGGCAUGCCUAACACAUGCAAGUCGAACGAAGGCUUCGGCCUUAGUGGCGCACGGGUGCGUAACGCGUGGGAAUCUGCCCUUAGGUUCGGAAUAACAGCUGGAAACGGCUGCUAAUACCGGAUGAUAUCGCGAGGUCAAAGAUUUAUCGCCUGAGGAUGAGCCCGCGUUGGAUUAGGUAGUUGGUGGGGUAAAGGCCUACCAAGCCGACGAUCCAUAGCUGGUCUGAGAGGAUGAUCAGCCACACUGGGACUGAGACACGGCCCAGACUCCUACGGGAGGCAGCAGAAGGG